GGAGAGUGGACUGGUGGUGGUGGGGACUUGUAGUAGUAAGGAGGAGGCGGAGAUGAAGACGGGGGAGGAGGGGAUUUGUAGUAGUAUGGAGGUGGUGGUGAUGGAGAUGGAGGUGGUGGGGAUUUGUAGUAGUAAGGAGGAGGAGGAGAUGGUGAUGGUGGAGGCGGGGAGUUGUAGUGGUAGGUUGGUGCUGGGGCCUUCACUGGAGGUGGUGGUGAUUUGUAGUAGUAUGGUGGGGGUGGAGAGUGGACUGGUGGUGGUGGAGACUUGUAGUAAUAUGGUGGGGGUGGAGAGUGGACUGGUGGGGGUGGAGAUUUGUAGUAGUAUGGUGGUGGUGGUGGUGACUUAUAAACAUAGGUAGGGCUUGGUGGUGGCGGGGACUUGUAAUAGUAUGGUGGAGGAGGUGGUGACUUGUAAGCAUAAGUAGGCGAUGGUGGUGGUGGAGAGGUGUAAUAGUAAGGAGAUGGAGUAGGCUUUGGCUUUGGCUUCUCACACUCCUUGUAAGGGGUCUUUGGAGCAUAGGCAAAUGGCUCAGCCUUAAGCACAACCUCAUACUUGUCCUUGGACUUCACGGUGAGCAUGGCACCCUUGUUGCCCCCAUGUAGACCGGUAGCAAUGUUGC
rnacentral:lncRNA from 1 species